rnacentral:rRNA from 1 species
GCAAGUCGAACGGCAGCACGAGAGAGCUUGCUCUCUUGGUGGCGAGUGGCGGACGGGUGAGUAAUAUAUCGGAACGUGCCCAGUAGCGGGGGAUAACUACUCGAAAGAGUGGCUAAUACCGCAUACGCCCUACGGGGGAAAGGGGGGGAUCGCAAGACCUCUCACUAUUGGAGCGGCCGAUAUCGGAUUAGCUAGUUGGUGGGGUAAAGGCUCACCAAGGCAACGAUCCGUAGCUGGUUUGAGAGGACGACCAGCCACACUGGGACUGAGACACGGCCCAGACUCCUACGGGAGGCAGCAGUGGGGAAUUUUGGACAAUGGGGGAAACCCUGAUCCAGCCAUCCCGCGUGUAUGAUGAAGGCCUUCGGGUUGUAAAGUACUUUUGGCAGAGAAGAAAAGGCAUCCCCUAAUACGGGAUGCUGCUGACGGUAUCUGCAGAAUAAGCACCGGCUAACUACGUGCCAGCAGCCGCGGUAAUACGUAGGGUGCAAGCGUUAAUCGGAAUUACUGGGCGUAAAGCGUGUGUAGGCGGUUCGGAAAGAAAGAUGUGAAAUCCCAGGGCUCAACCUUGGAACUGCAUUUUUAACUGCCGAGCUAGAGUAUGUCAGAGGGGGGUAGAAUUCCACGUGUAGCAGUGAAAUGCGUAGAUAUGUGGAGGAAUACCGAUGGCGAAGGCAGC